rnacentral:rRNA from 1 species
UACGUAGGGGGCAAGCGUUGUCCGGAAUCAUUGGGCGUAAAGAGCGUGUAGGCGGCUUGGUAGGUCCGCUGUGAAAACUCGAGGCUCAACCUCGAGAUGUCGGCGGAAACCACUUGGCUAGAGUCCGGAAGAGGAGAAUGGAAUUCCCGGUGUAGCGGUGAAAUGCGCAGAUAUCGGGAAGAACACCCGUGGCGAAGGCGGUUCUCUGGGACGGUACUGACGCUGAGACGCGAAAGCGUGGGGAGCGAACAGG